UUUUUGCUCUGCCAAGCGCUGUCAACUGUGAGACCUUAUAUAGACAGGUGUGUGCCUAAAUAAGGGGAUUCUGUUUUUAUUAAUACUUUUCUAAACUUGUUUUCGCAUUGUCAUUAUAGGGUAUUGUGUGUAGAUUGCUGAGGUUUUAUUUAAUCCAUUUUAGAAUAAGGCUGUUUACGUAACAACAUUUGGAAAAAGUCGAGGGGUCUGAGUACUUUCCGAAGGCACUAAGUAUUUGAUGCAGCUAUUGUGGUACUAGCUAACCCAUGUCUGACAACAACAGUGUACUAACUAGCAGCAACAAACUCUAACCAACCCAGGACCAUAGCAAAACAUGUCAAAGUUGGUUGCAUCGUGCACACCGGCCAGAAUCCAAUCCAAUCUGGAGCCAUUCAGUCUGCAUCUGUAAAGCAUAGAAUGAGCUUCCAAACCAAAUGACGCUAUUUUCCGAGCUAUGUUUAUAAUCGAGAGAUGAUGACAAUCGUUGACCCUGUUUUUCAAAGUGCACAGUUGGGUACCAGACUGAUCGCCUGGUCAUGAACGGAUGCCGGGACCUACGAGAAGGAGCGAAGCUUGUCAGGCAAGACCUCAGCAUAAAAGUGUCAUGCGACACAAGUACCCUUGUGACACCACCUCCGUUGUUGCCAGAGUCCUCCUUGAUUCCUAUGAAAAGGACACACCAUUAUGAGCUCUCUUAUAGUGACCCGAGUUACUGCCCUGAUGACACAGGCGGCUUCAUCAAUGACAGGCAAUGUGUUAUGUGAAAAGUUGUAUUAAAAAAAUACUCUGCUUGAUAAACUAGUAGGCUCAUUCCCCCAGUCAAGCAGCUACAACUAGUAGUCAUUUUGGUUGUGAAGUCCAUUAACAAAAAGCUUUGUCCUUUCUUUAGAACAAAAUGCAAUUCACCACUUGGCUGUCUAUUAUAUCACCCUGUCGCAGGCCCUCCCAGUCAUCACCACCACAUAAGAUUGCCUGCUGCAAUUUGCAGCUGAACAUGCAGCAUAGGGAAGACCAGCAAUGGGGCCCUCAUCAGCAUCAUGCAGACAUGUCCUCGCUGUAAGCAUUCCUGUGAAUGGAACGGUCAGCCACCUGUGGGCAAGAAUCCGGCAAGCAACCUUCAACAGGAACAGAUUUCACAGGCUCCUUAUUUGUACAAAUACACAAGAUACAUGAGGUACAAAGAGACCUGGCACUCAACACAUCCACAAUGAGGUGGACUGGAGAUGCUAUUGCCAGACUGCAGCCUCAGUCAAUUGAUGGGGAGACCAUAAUUGGCAAGGUUCAAUCUGACCUGUUCAAGCUUCAACAUAGUACUGAUCCUAACUGCCAUUGGUAAUAAAACAGUGACUGUGUGCAUGUGUUCACAGAAACAU